rnacentral:rRNA from 1 species
GGGGAAUCUUGCGCAAUGGGCGAAAGCCUGACGCAGCAACGCCGCGUGAGCGAAGAAGGCCUUCGGGUUGUAAAGCUCCGUCAGGAGGGACGAAGCCACUCGGGUGAAUAGCCCAGAGGGUGACGGUACCUCCAGAGGAAGCCCCGGCUAACUACGUGCCAGCAGCCGCGGUAAUACGUAGGGGGCGAGCGUUGUCCGGAAUCAUUGGGCGUAAAGCGCGUGUAGGCGGCUUGGCAAGUCCGGUGUGAAAGCUCGAGGCUCAACCUCGAGUCUGCACUGGAAACUGCCUUGCUAGAGUCCGGAAGAGGAGACUGGAAUUCCUGGUGUAGCGGUGAAAUGCGCAGAUAUCAGGAAGAACACCGGUGGCGAAGGCGGGUCUCUGGGACGGUACUGACGCUGAGACGCGAAAGCGUGGGGAGCAAACAG